GUUACUUUUCUGGUUGCUUAAUUAUAGUAAAUUUUUGUUAUUAGCUUAUAUUUAAUCAAUGUUUUAAUGACACUAUGAAGCAGAUAUUUUAUUUAAGCUUUUCAGCAAAUUUUGAGAUAAGUUCUAUUUUCCACAUUUUGAAAUCUGUGAAGCUGAUCGGGGAGGGGCAGAGCACCCAAAUGUUUCUUCUUCUUUUUGUCUUUCAAAAGUACUAUUUAUCUUCAAUUAACAAGCAACACUUUCUAUAUCUAUCUAUCUAUCUAUCUAUCUAUCUAUCUAUCACCUAUCAAUCAACAGGGUUUUACUCUGUCAGCCAAGCUGGAGCGCAGUGGUACAAUCACGGCUCAUGCAGCCUCAGCCUCCCUAGGCUCAAGUGAUCCUCCCACCUCAGCUUCCUGAGUAACUGGUACUACAGAUACAUGCUACCAUACCUGGAUAAUUUUUUUGUUGUUUUUGUAGAGAUAGGGUUUUGCCAUGUUGCCCAGGCUGGUCUCAAACUCCUGCACUCAAGCAGUCCACCCACCUUGGCCUCAGAGAGUGCUGGGAUUAUAGGCAUGAGCCACAAUGCAUGGCCUUACAAGCAGUAUUUUAGGAGCAGAUAUUUAGUGUUGUGAGGAAAGACUAAGUUAUGCUGUAGAAACAACCUCAGAUAGCACUGGCCAUAAGCAACAGCUGAUUCCUUGCUCAUGCAGAGUCCUCUCUGGGUCUGAAUGAGGAUUUUGGACAGCCCUUUUCAUGGUACAGUGUGACACCUUUAUAUAAACAGGUACCUCCAUGAUCACCCAGGCAAGGGAAGAGAGUACUGAGAGACCCACACCAGUAAUAGAGCCAGUUCUCAUUAUUUGUAGUAGUUACAUUCCUUAAAGUAAGAGUGAACAUUGACUUAGCAAAUACUGAACUAUUGCUCCUAGGGGAAAUAUACAGUUAGGUUCCUGUAAGCCUCUGAUCAUAGUAUUUUCAGUAAUCAAUCAAUACAUAACCUUGUUUUAUGUGUGUUUCUGCAUAAAGAUAUUUUAUUUAAUAGGUAUUGUUGAUUCAUUAACAUUGAACUCGUGACCAAUGGCAUUAUAACUCAUGUCUGAAUGACAUACAGGUCUUCUCCAUUAGGCACAUCACAACCUUCUCGCACUUAGGAACACUAGACAGCACUUCAGCCCUAAGCCUAGGGACUGUUUUAAACAGCAAACGAAAAGCACAAAAAUGUGAUAACAGUGGCCCGCCAUAGAUUGUGAAAUGGACAUUGUCUACAGCACAAGAAACAAGAGCUUGCCUCAUCCAACUUCAGCUGGGAAUGUGUGCUCUGGGCAACCUGCAUUUUCCGCUGCUCUGGUCAUGCAUAUGUCUGUGAGUGACCAGAAAGUAUUGUGAGUAUUGACUGUGGAGUUACAAAGAUAUUUUAACAAGCAAGCAAAUUUGCAAAUUUGCAAAUUUGCAAAUAUGGAAUUUGUGAAUAAUGAGGAUCAACCGUAAAUGCUUCCUGCAGUAAGUUACAUGUUUUUCCAUCCACUCUCCUUGGCCAGAGCAAGUCACCAGGCCUUCAUUAACCUCAAGGGUAUUCAAAAAAAUGCUAUCAAUCUGUGCUUUUAAAGGAGAGCUCAAAAUAUUUGAGAAAAGUACUGCCGGUAAUAUCAUUGUGUCACACGUUGUUUAUUUAUUCCAUACUUGUGGCAGAUUUUUAUUUCCCAAGGAUGGUUGCAACAUUAUCUCCAUCCAAUGUGCUGUUCUUAUAACGUGACUUUGACAUACCUCUAAUUAUAAGAGGUGAAUGUCUCUUCUUCCUUUCCUUGAAACUUGGCAAGCUUAUGAUGACAGUAGAAGGCUAGAUCAUUAAAGUUGUCCACCUGGUUUUCUUUGAGACAAUUGUUCUUAGAAUCCAGCAGCCAUGCUGAAGGGAAGCCUAAGCAGCUCCAUAGAGAGAUAUGUGUAGGAUAUCCUAGCUGAGGAUGUGGCUGGCAGCUGGCAUCAACCACUGCUCAUGUUGAGUAAGCAAGUGUUUAGAUGAUUCCAGCCCACCAUUGACUCACCUCCAGGCAUCCUUGAGCCUUCACUGCUGAGGUCCCAGAGGUCAUAGAGGAGAUACAAGUUAUCCCUGAAGUACCCACAGAAACUGUGAGGAUAAGAAAAUGGUUAUUUUUUAAAAUAACAUUAUGCUUGUGGUAAUGUUUUUUAGAAAGAAUAACUUGAACAGUAUUUAUUCUAUACAGUAUUGUAGUAGGUGUUGGUGGGUGAUAUGGUUUGGCUCUGUGUCCCCACCCAAAUUUCAUCUUGAAUUGUAAUCCCCACAUGUUGGAGGAGGGACCUGGUGGGAGGUGACUGGAUCACGGGAGUGGACAUCCCCCUUGCCGUUCUUGCGAUAGUGAGUAAGUUCUCAUGAGAUCUGCUUGUUUGAAAGUGUGCGGCACUUCCUCCUUCAUGCUCUUUCUCCUGUUCUGCCAUGGUAAGACGUGCUUGCUUCCCCUUCACCUUUUGCUAUGAUUGUAAGUUUCCUGAGGCCUCCUAACCAUGCUUCCUGUAAAGGCUUCCUGUAAACCUCCCAAAGUGCUGGGUUUACAGGUGUGAGCCACUGUGCCCAGCCUUCUUUUCUUUUUUCUAAGUAAAUUAAACCUCUUUUCUUCAUAAAUUACCCAGUCCCAGGUAGUUCUUUACAGCACUGUUAGAAUGGACUAAUACAGUGGGUUUUGGCAACAAAUAGAAUUUGGUUUUGGCCUUUCUGGUGUCAUCCAUGAACUCAUAACCUGGUUAAACAUCUGGUCUUUUAUUCUUUUCUUUUUUCUUUUUUUUUUUUUUUGAGAUGGAGUUUCACUCUUGUUGUCCAGACUGGAGUGCAAUGAUGAAUCUCGGCUCACAGCAACCUCCACCUUCUGGGUUCAAGCGAUUCUCUUGUCUCAGUCUCCCGAGUAGCUGGGACUACAGGUAUGCACCACCACACUCAGCUAAUUUUUGUAUUUUUAGUAGAGACGAGAUGUUACCAGGUUGGCCAGGAUGGUCUAGAUCUCUUGACCAACCUCGUGAUCCGCCUGCCUUGGCCUCCCUGCCUCCCAAAGUGCUGGGUUUACAGGUGUGAGCCACUGUGCCCAGCCUUCUUUUCUUUUUUCUAAAGACAGUGCCUCACUAUGUUGUGCGAGCUGGAGGGCAGUGGCUAUUCACAGGCACCAUCACAGAGCAUUACAGCCUUGAACUGCUGUGCUCCAGGGAUCCUCCCAUCGUAGCCUCCUGAGUAGCUAGGGCUACAGCUGCAUGGCCCCACUCUCAGCAGUUAUCUGGCUAUCUGGUCCCUUUAUAGUUACCACUGUCUCAUGUUGGGGUCCGGCACGUCUGCCGGGGGACUACCGACCUGUGGGAGACUGCCAACGUGGAUGUCUCAUUCAACCUGAGGGAGAGAGUGUGCGGAAGUGAAAAAAAAGAGAAAAGCGGAGUCUGGAGGGCUGGCUUAGGCUAUGUCCAAGCAGCAAUUUUAUUUUGGCAAUACGUUUCAUUAUAUACUUUUCUGAAGCCAAAGUUGUUUACACCAGAUCAACGUACUUAAGUUACAGUAAGCAAGUUACGCCCACUAAGUUACGCCCAGUAAGUAAGUUAAGCCCAGUAAGUAGGUUACUUCCAGUAAGUAGGUUACGCCCAAUAGGUCAAGGUAAGUAAGUUACAGUCACGCCCUGUAAGCUAUGGUAAGUAAGUUACAGUUACACCCAGUAAGUUAUGGUAAGUAAGUUACCAAGUGUAAAUACUUAAGUUAAUAUUUUACAAUGAAGGUAACAAGGGUCCAAAAUGAACACAAUCAAGCAAUAAACCAUAAGAAGCUGAAAGUGGACACAUUGACUCCCAAGUCCUCAUAUUCAUAAAGUAAUGUCUGUUAACUAUUUAGAAUAACAUAGUCCCUCUCUCGGUUCCUGCUUUCCCUCAGCUCGACUCCCCCAACCGGGGAUCUGUGUCCAGGCUCAAGCUCACCGUAUGGUGAGGCCCAUUUCCCAGGGGCCUCACACGGGAGCCAUCUCCACAGAUUCCCUCAGUCUCAGAUGUGAUAACUGCAAAAUGGGUAGCAACUUGGUAUUCUUUUCUUUUGGCUGGCUUCUCCUUCAGUUUUGAUGAGAAUUAGUACACCCAUUAAUUAUUUAGACACAAAGCAACCCGUGAAGCACCUCCUACACUGAGCGCCUCGCUCUGUGCCUGAUCCAUAAUUGCAUGAUAAAUGUUGAAUGAAUGCCAGUCACAGAAUUUGGCAGAUGCAUAGGUAGGAACUGAGUGUUUUUAGUAGCAUCUGGGAACCACCUUUCUUAUCUGCCACAGAAAAUGAAGAGGCACUUACUGAAUUGUGGAGUUGAGGAUAAAAAACGUAGUCUAAAGCUGGAAAUGCUUUUAAAAAUUAAAAUAUCAAUUUUAAUCAGAGUGAAGCUUGAUAAAACUUCUGUCUGUGGUAGGUGUUUAUGAAAAAAGACAGGGUCAUCCAUAUUGAUUUUAAAAGGUUUAUGCUUUGAAGUAAAAAUAGAUGACCAAAUAUAUCAUACCUAGAUAGCUUACAUUCUCAAAUGCACUUAAAAGGAACUAAUCUUUGAUGCAGCUAAGAUAAAAUGUUUCUAAUAGAUUACUUGAUGAAAGGUCAUUUCCCAAAAUUGUGAGGCAGCUAAGAUGUUACCUUGAACUAUUACAUGUGGGGUUUUCACUGUUGCAGUAGAAUUAUUAUAUUCUUUAGAAUUAUUAUAUUCUUUCUCUCCUUUUCUUUUGUUUUAGUGGCAAUAUCUGCAGCCUCAAACUCCUGGGCUCAAGCAUGCUCCCAUCUCAGCCUUCAGAGUGGUUGAGACUAUAAGUGCCCACCACGAUGGCUGGCAAAUUUUUAAAAAAAUUUCUCAUAGAAAUGGGAUCUUCAACUCCUGGGCUCAAGUGAUCCUCCAGCCUCAGCUUCUCAAAGUGCUAGGAUUACAGGUGUGAGGCACCACGCCUGGCCUGCAUUAUUUCUCUAUUAAGAUAAAUUAAAGAAUUGGUAGUAAUUUGACUUGACUCCCUAAGGACUUUGAGAACAGAGUUGUUACAGAGGUUCAGUGUCCAACUUCCCAGAAGAGGCAUUCCUCUGCCUGCAUCUUUAACAGAUCUGUAAACCAGUCAGUUCUCAGCCUCAGUAUAAGUCCUGCAUAAAGGUCUCCCAGGUUGUUCUACAGUUGAGUGUCUGCAUGCACACAAUGAGACCCAGGUGUAGGAGAGAUAAGUAACAGAUUAAAACUUGCCUCCGAGGUCAUGCAUGUUGGCUCACACCUGUAAUCCCAGCACUUUAGAAGGCUAAGGCAGGAGGAUCACUUGAGCUCAGGAGUUUGAGAUCAGCCUGAGCAACAUAGUGAGACCCUGCCUCUACCCAAAAAAAAAAAAAAAAGUUUUUAAAAAAUUAGCUGGGCAUGGUGGCUGAGCCUGUAGUCCCAGUUACUAAUGGGGCUGAAGUGGGAAGAUCACUUAAGCCCUGGAGAUCAAGGGAGGCAGUGAUCAACCCUCUGCCCUCCAGCUUUGGUCAUAGAGUAAGAACCUGUUUAAAAAAAAAAAAAAAUCCACUAUCAUGGCGAAAAGAUUUAGUAGUAAUGCCUGGAACAUCUCAUCUUCUAGAUCAGUGCCUCUCAAGCUAUCUGCAAUGAAAGAUCCUUUAUAUAUUUUUUAAAUUUCCGGUUCAUCUUAAACCAACAUGCAUGUCUACUGCAUAGGACCAUGUGCAGCUCAUGCUAUAAGCUACCAAACCCCCAAGUACUGCUGUAAUUUAAUUGGUCUAUGGAAAUAUCAGUGUAUUAAGUCCACUGAUCACAUGCAUGGAUUUUGUAAAAAAUAAGUUGCUAUAAAUGUCUCUGAACAUGAAACCAACCCAAUUGUGCCAUAGAACUGAUGUUCAUGGUUUCUUCUGAAUAAACAUAGAAAUUGGCCCAGUCUUAAAACUUUAGAAAGUGAUCUUUGUCUUAUCUGAGUUCAUUAUCACUUCAAACGUUUUUUCUCCUCCUUUCUCCUUCAGGUAUUCUCAUUAUGCAUAUGUAACACUAUUUGUAAUUGUUCCACAGUUCUCGGAUAUUGUUCCUCUUUUUGGUUUUCUUUUUUCUUCGCUUUUCCUUUUUGGAAUUUUCUAUUGACAAAGCCUCAUGCUCAGAGAUUCUUUCUUCAGCUGUGUCUAGUCUCCUAUCAAAGACAUUCAUUUGUGUUAUAGUGGUUUUGAUUCUCCAGCAUUUUGUGAUUUUUUUUCUUGAAAUGUCCAUCUCUCUGCUUAUGUUACUCAUCUGUUCCAGCAUGUUGUCUACUUUUUCCCCUAGAGUCCUUAGCAUAUUAAUCCUGGUUGUUUCACAUUUUGGUCUGAGAAUUUCAACAUUCUGCCCUAUCCGAGUCAGCUUCUGAUAACUUGCUUUGCCUCUUCAAACUAUGGUUUUGUUUUUGCUUUUGCCAUUUACGAUGCCUUGUGAUUUCUUGUUGAAAGGUGGACCUGAUGUAAAAGGAACUCUGGUAAUCAGGCUUUUAGUAACGUGGAGGUAAAGCGUGGGGAAGGGCGCAUUCUGUAGCUCUUUCAUUAGGUCUGUUGUUUUAGCGAGCCUCUGCUCCUGCGAGGUGAGCUUCACAUGUGCUUCUCAUUAUUUCCCUCCCUCUUUAGGUGGGACAGGAUGGCUAGAGGGGCUAGAGCCAGUAGUUCCCUUCUCCAUGUGGAAGGCUAGUGGAGGCUGAAGCUGGGAAUUUCCCUUCUGCCAGGUCAGUUAGGCUCUGGUAAAAUAAAUGCUUCUGAAGGCAGGACUUGUUAUGAAGAGAACACUCCGCUGUAUUUCAAAAUGGUUGCUUCCCCACCCCCACCCCCGUCUCUGCCAGAAGCCCAAGGGGAUUUUCUCUGAUUUUCACUGUGAGAACCUGAUAGGCGUCCUGAAGGUAAUAUUUACAAAAGUGUGGGGGCCCUCCAUGAAUGGAACCCCUAUAGUUUUUGACUCUCAGAGCUUCCAGCAACUCAUCAAUUACAGUUCAGGUUUUCCGACCCCGGCUGGUUCCUGGAGGUUUCUGCUCAGGUAAGUUGUGAUUCUCUGUGUCCACCUGUCUGUCUCCCCAACUUUGGGGGCAGUGAUUUCUCCUGUGACCUCAGUUCUCUGAUGGAUUUAAGAUGAGUUGAUUUUUCUGUUGGUUUGGCUUUUUAUUAUUGUUAGGAUGACUUCCAAGUUCCUUACAAGCCAGGGCCGAAAGCAGACUUCCUUUCUAGAAAACGAUAAAGAUAUUUUCUGGUCCAUUAUUGAAUUUAGUGAAAUGACCAUAUUCUAGUUAUUAAUUCUGUGAUUCUCUCUUAUUCAUAACUUUUUCUUGCUAAAAUUAUUUCUUCCUUAUAACAACUUUUUAGUUGUUAACAAUUUAAUGCCUCUAUUUGCGAAUUUUCUUUAACUCCACGUUUUCUCGCAGCGCUAACAGCCAGAUUACUCGUGUUUGCCAAUUGCGUCAACAUGUAAAAAAGAUGCGCUGUUUACUCUGUUGGUCUUACUGUUGUGCCUGCGAAUCCCGCUGUGUGAAUUGAAUUGGCUGCAGCUGCACGUUAGGUUGAUGGCAUCGGAAACAGUUUACAGAGAAUGUCGGCUACAAGUGAAGGCCCAAAACUAUUUUCAGAUCUCAUUUUCCCUAAACCCGUUACCCUAACUCUGUCCACAUUGAAACUCACCUGUAUUUUAUGGCUCACUCAUAUUACUUAGAGCAAUGCUUUCAAUCUUGGCUUCAGAUUAGAAUCACUGGCUCUAUUUCUUGUUUGUUUGUUUGUUUUUUCUUUUUAAUUAAACUUUUUGGGGGGAGGGAAGGGUUCUCGCUAGGUUGCCCAGGCUCGUCUCAAACUCCUGGGCUCAAUUGAUCCUCGUGCCUCGGCCUCCUGAAGUGCUGGGAUUAUAGGCAUAAGCCACCACACCUGGCCACUGCUGGUUCUAUUUCUAUGUAAUUGGUCUGUGUGUGUCCUGGUAUCAGAUUUCUGAAAGGUCCUCCAAGUGAUUUUACUGUGCAAUUAAGGUUAAAAUCCGAGAGCCAGCAAACUUAAAAAAAUUUUUUUUUGUAAAAAUGAUUGGGGGCUUUGCUAUCUUGCCCAGGCUGGUCUUAAACUCCUGGCCUCAAGCAAUCCUCCCUCUGCAGCCUUACCAAGUGGUUACAGGCAUGAGCCACUGUGUCUAGUCACCAGCAAACUUUUUCUCUGAAGAUCAGACAGUAAAUGCUUUAGGCUUUGAGGGUCAAAUAGUCUCUAUUGGAGUUACUCAACUCUAACCUCAUAGCAUGAAAGCAGCCACAGGCACGUGAGCACCACACUGUUUAAUAAAACUUUAUUUCUAGACGGUGAAAUUUUGAUUUACAUAAUUUUCAUGUGUCAGAAAUAUUCCUUUUCAUUGUUUUGCAGCUAUUUACAAAUGCAAAUGUUGUCUCACAGGAUACACAGAAACAGGUUUCGAGUGGGCUUUGCUAUAGUCUGGCAGCCCUUGGUUUAUGGCUUGUUUGCUUCACUGCUUCAGUUCGGUUCUAUAAGAUGAAGUCUCGCACUGUCUGUUGCCUAGGCUGUAGUGCAGCGGCGUGAUCUCGGCAACACUGUAAUCUCUGCCUCCUGGGUUCAAGCAAUUCUCCUGCCUCAGCCCCCUGAGUAGCUGCGACUACAGGCAUGUGCCACCACGCCCAGCUAAUUUUUUUGUAUUAGUAGAGAUGGGGUUUCACCAUGUUGGCCAGGAUGGUCUCCAUCUCCUGACCUUGUGAUCCACCCACCUCAGCCUCCCAAAGUGCUGGGAUUACAGGUGGGAGCCACUGUGCCCUGCCCUAAUGUUUUUUCUUUACCAUGUAAUCCAAAAUAUUGACCUUUCCUUUGUAAUGUCAAUCUGAUUUCUGCUGUCAUUGUUGACUGGUGAAGCCUACAGAUGCAGUCACAGUGCUGUAGCACUGCUUAUUUUAUGGUUGUGUUAUAAAGUAAGAGAGUAAGAGUGAUAUCUAAUGAGGUAAUGUGUUCCAGCAGCAGUGCUCUCUUUCGCCACAGCACUGUCAGAUGACCCAUAAUAUCCUAGCAUGAGACAUUCCCAUGUCACUAAGCCACAUCCCUCACCCAUUCAAGGAAGCAAAUCAGAAGACAAAUAAGCAAGCGUUUUUUGAUAACCCAAAUAAGCGAAUCAGAAGACAAGGCAAAUAAGCAAUAACAAGGAGAUCACUUUGGACAGCUUUGUUAUUAUUUUUAUUUUGUAACUAAAAUGUUUGCAAAUCUCUAUACUUUCAUUGCUAAUAUUGUAAUAUACGUCACUGUUAUUUAUAACAUACAACUAUCCCCUGCAGCUUUAGAGAUGUCUUUUACUCCUUCUAGAACUCUCUGUGUCUCUUGGAGCAUUCCAUACAGAAGUGAAACAAACCACGAAACCCUGAAAAACUGGUGUGGGAAGGAAAGUUCUGUUUGGUGGCAAAAGUAGUUACCUUUGGCUGGUCCAGAAUUUUUUUUUUUUUUCAUGCCCUUCAGAACCCAUUUCUAUGCUCAUUAGGAAUUCAGUUUUUGUUUUUUGUCAAUUCACAUAGAACUUUUCCUUUUUUCUCAGGAGUGUUACACAUUUUAGGAGAGUGCAGUCAUCUUUAGAAGAACCUGGGGAACUUUUCCCUAAGGAAUGUGAAAAUAGGUUAACUAGAUUGGCAUUUUGAAGUGCCCCAUUGGCAGAGGUUGGCCAAUGAAUAGCAGCUUCUUGGGUCUAGGGUCCUUCUUCCUCUUCUCAUGGGCGCUCUAUUAAAGGUGGAGAGCUAUGUGCUACAUGAUCUCCAAGAGCAGUUUACUUUUGCACUUCCAGUCCGGGUGAGCCCUCUUCAUACCGAAGGGCUGCAUCCCUGGGCCUCUUCCCCAGGAGGAUUUCUGGUGGCCUCUUCGUAGGAGGGUGGUAAACACUGGGAGGGGAGGGCAGCCUCGGGGGGCAGUGGGGCAUAGCGGAAGUCCUCACUGCUGCAGGCCAGGCCCGGUAGCAGGUCCGUGACCUCUCCUGCAGCUGGGUGCUCUGGUAGGUCAACGCUGAACACCUGCCCCUGGGGUUGCGGGGACUUGCAUCGGCGGUACAGGAACAACAGCAGAAAGGCCAGGAAGAGCAGGACAGUG